GAUUUUCGCCUCUUCCAAUUCUUUUAUCCCUAUUUUAUUUCCUUCCAUUUCCAUUCCUCCCUUCUUUUUUAUUCCCAAACAAGGAGGACUGCAGAACAUAAAUUCCACUCUGUAUGCUAGCUACUACGUGCCACGUGACCAGCUCCCCCUCCCGCUCCUGGUGUGGUAGCUGCAAUUUUCUUCUAACAUUCUCCCCCUAUAUAUCUCCCUCUCAAUUUAAUCGUUUUCUACUCCCUCUAAUCGGCGAGUUUACGAGGCUUAAUAGGGUAACUCUAUUUCUCUUCAGGUGGAUUCAAUUUCCACUUUAACAUUUCUUCCUACACCAAAUACCCCUUUAAGCUACUCCAAUUCCCUUUCCAGAUCUGCUUCUUGAUUCCUUUCCUUGUUUGUUUCUGUUUGUUCUAUCUUAACUCGCGAUGUUCUUCGGCAAUUUUGUUGUUGAUACUCUGUUUUGUUGCUUAGUGAACGAUUUCGAGGUUAUUUAAAUCGAGGUUUAUCUCAAACAAUAGAAAUAUCCGUGCUUCGUUGGAAUUUGGUAGAUCCUGUUAAGCUGCAUUGCAUUUUGAUUGAAUUUGGUUUGGUUUGGUUUGGUUUUCCCCAUUCGUCAAGAUCUGAUACGGUGUAGCUUAUAGUUAGGUGUUGUUUGGUGGUUAUGAUGGAGUUAAGCAAUAUUGUGUUCAACGUUUGAUGUUUGUUAGUGGGUAGAUCUUGUUUUGGUGGGAAAAUAUUGAGAAACACUGUUUUCAAAACAAGAAACUCAAUAAGCCAUUUCUUUGUCUGUUUUUUGAUUUUGGAAGCAUUUGGAUAGUUUAUAUUUUGAUCCUGUUUGUUAACAGGUCUCUUGAGUCUGCACCAUGGCCACUGGACAACUCUUCUCUCGUACUACACAGGCUCUGUUUUACAAUUACAAGCAGCUUCCCAUCCAGCGCAUGCUUGAUUUUGAUUUCCUUUGCGGGAGAGAAACACCAUCUGUGGCUGGAGUUAUUAACCCCGGUGCAGAGGGAUUCCAGAAACUCUUCUUUGGUCAAGAGGAAAUUGCGAUCCCUGUACAUUCAACUAUUGAGGCUGCUUGUGCUGCUCACCCAACUGCUGAUGUAUUUAUUAACUUUGCAUCAUUUAGAAGUGCGGCCGCAUCAUCCAUGGCUGCCCUGAAGCAGCCUACCAUUCGAGUUGUGGCUAUAAUAGCUGAAGGAGUUCCUGAGUCUGACACCAAACAGUUAAUUGCGUAUGCACGAUCUAACAAUAAGGUUGUCAUUGGCCCAGCUACUGUUGGAGGCAUUCAGGCUGGAGCAUUCAAGAUAGGUGACACUGCUGGAACAAUUGACAACAUAAUUGCUUGCAAGCUGUACAGGCCUGGAUCCGUUGGAUUUGUGUCCAAAUCUGGUGGUAUGUCAAAUGAGCUAUACAAUACAAUCGCUCGUGUAACAGAUGGCAUAUAUGAAGGUAUUGCAAUUGGAGGAGAUGUGUUUCCAGGCUCCACUCUUUCUGAUCAUGUUUUGCGGUUUAAUAAUAUCCCACAGGUUAAGAUGAUGGUUGUACUCGGGGAACUUGGUGGACGAGACGAGUAUUCCCUUGUUGAAGCUCUCAAACAAGGAAAGGUGACCAAACCAGUAGUUGCUUGGGUCAGUGGAACAUGUGCACGGCUCUUCAAAUCAGAAGUGCAAUUUGGCCAUGCUGGUGCUAAAAGUGGUGGUGAGAUGGAGUCUGCUCAAGCAAAAAAUCAAGCAUUAAAGGAUGCUGGAGCUGUAGUUCCCACUUCGUACGAGGCUUUUGAGACUGCAAUUAAGGAAACAUUUCAAAAGCUGGUGGAAGAGGGUAAGAUUACACCUGUAAAGGAGAUUAAACCUCCACAAAUCCCUGAGGAUCUUAACACAGCAAUUAAGAGUGGCAAAGUUCGGGCUCCAACUCAUAUUAUUUCCACAAUUUCUGAUGACAGAGGUGAAGAGCCAUGCUAUGCUGGUGUGCCAAUGUCAUCCAUUGUUGAACAGGGUUAUGGUGUUGGUGAUGUCAUCUCUCUUUUGUGGUUCAAGCGCAGCCUUCCACGAUACUGUACUCAUUUUAUUGAGAUAUGCAUCAUGCUAUGUGCUGACCAUGGUCCUUGUGUCUCUGGUGCUCACAACACUAUAGUAACAGCUAGAGCUGGAAAGGACCUAGUUUCCAGCCUUGUCUCAGGUUUGCUCACAAUUGGUCCCCGAUUUGGUGGUGCUAUUGAUGAUGCUGCUCGAUACUUUAAGGAUGCAUAUGACAGGGGUCUAACACCCUAUGAGUUUGUUGAAAGCAUGAAAAAGAAGGGUAUUCGUGUUCCUGGAAUUGGGCACAGGAUCAAGAGAGGUGACAACAGAGAUAAAAGGGUAGAGCUCUUACAGCUAUUUGCUCGCACACAUUUCCCUUCCGUAAAGUACAUGGAGUAUGCUGUUCAAGUUGAAACCUAUACUCUAUCGAAGGCCAAUAACCUGGUGCUUAAUGUUGAUGGUGCGAUUGGGUCCCUUUUCUUGGAUCUUCUUGCUGGCAGUGGAAUGUUUACCAAACCGGAGAUAGAUGAGAUUGUUGAGAUUGGUUAUUUGAAUGGGCUCUUUGUGUUGGCACGCUCCAUUGGUCUGAUUGGGUGAGUUGGAUUGCACUUCAAAAUUUCUUAUCCUCUUCUCUUGGUUUUUGUUUUGUGUUGCUUAUUCGGUUACAAGCAGGCCCUUGAUAUUGACACUUCAACAGUUGGAUUUCUGACCCUGUAUAGCCUUUUUAAUUACAAGGAUUUUAAGGUUGAACUGUUUAUGGUCCAAUGGGUGGGUGGUUUUGAGUCUUAUAUAAAUAUGACCUUUUUGGAAUAUUGUGCAGUUUUAGGUAUUAUCGGGCAUUUAAUUGGCUAGGAAUGAGUAUGAUAGACCACCACUAUCUAGUAUCUACUGCAAAUAUAUACAGCUACAUGGAAGUAUGUAUUUGCAUAUGACUAAGGCUUAUAAAUUUCAAUUUCAGGCACACAUUCGACCAGAAGAGAUUGAAACAGCCACUGUACCGUCACCCAUGGGAAGAUGUUCUCUACACCAAGUGAGAGAAAUGCAGAUAGCAGGUUUCAAGGAGAAAUAACCGAUUUGAGAUGCAUGUGGAAUAAGUCUUACCAUCGUCUUACGGCUUGAGAAUGUCCGUAUUGAUGUUCUAUUGUUGUGUUUGGUAAACAAAGGAAGGAAAUGGAAUUAAUUUUUCAAAAGUGAAAUUAACCCCCUGUUUGGUUCAAAUUUAUCAUGGAAUUCAAUUCAUUUACAAAUGAAUUCCAAGACAGAAUUCAUUUGUAAAUGAAUUCUUUUGUUUGGUAUGGUGUAUAUCAAAUUUAAAAUUCAUUUUAAAUGAAAUAAACCCCUUUUUUGGUUCAAAUCUGUCAUGGAAUUCAUUUUAUUUACAAAUGAAUUUCAA
rnacentral:misc_RNA from 1 species